rnacentral:snRNA from 1 species
AGCUGCCGCGCCCAUAGGCGACAA